GACGAACCGUCCAAACGUUAUUCGGAAUUACUGGGCUUAAAGGGUGCGUAGGCGGCUUCGCAAGUUGGGUGUGAAAUCCCUCGGCUCAACCGAGGAAUGGCGCCCAAAACUGCGGAGCUCGAGGGAGACAGAGGUGAGUGGAACUUGUGGUGGAGCGGUGAAAUGCGUUGAUAUCACAAGGAACACCGGUGGCGAAAGCGGCUCACUGGGUCUUUUCUGACGCUGAGGCACGAAAGCUGGGGGAGCGAACGGGAUUAGAUACCCCGGUAGUCCCAGCUGUAAACGAUGAGCACUAGAUCGAAGGGUCCUCCAUAGCCUUUCGGUCGUAGCGAAAGUGUUAAGUGCUCCGCCUGGGGAGUAUGGUCGCAAGGCUGAA
rnacentral:rRNA from 1 species